GAAAUAUACAGUCAUGGUCAAAAUUAUUUUCACAAAGUGCAUUUUUGUGCAUGGGUCACAAACAGUUGCUUGUGCAGCAAGUGGGGGGAGGUGAAAUGCAAAAAAACUUUUGCUUUUGCAAAUUCAAACCUAUGCAGAGUCAGAUGAAAGAAGAAUUGAAAAAAUAAAUGUUCCUAUGCGCAAGGAAGAGGCAAAUGAAGAGAUCUUUAUCAGUUGUCAGAAGUAUUUGCACACGGUUUCGUCGCAUCACAAUUAUUUUCACAACGCAAUUUCUUCUUCAGUGAUUGGUUUAGAGUGACAAGUGCCGUUAUUAAAUAAAAUGCCCAAAACAAAAGAGUUAACAGUUGAGGCCCGGGCUGGUAUUGUUGCUAGGUUUAAAGCCGGUACACCUGCGGCCAAAAUAGCUGAAAUAUAUCAAAUUUCGCGUAGAACUGUCUACUACUUAAUAAAAAAGUUUGAUACAGUUGGCACAUUAAAAAA